AUUGAACGCUGGCGGCAGGCCUAACACAUGCAAGUCGAGCGGAUGAGUGGAGCUUGCUCCAUGAUUCAGCGGCGGACGGGUGAGUAAUGCCUAGGAAUCUGCCUGGUAGUGGGGGACAACGUUUCGAAAGGAACGCUAAUACCGCAUACGUCCUACGGGAGAAAGCAGGGGACCUUCGGGCCUUGCGCUAUCAGAUGAGCCUAGGUCGGAUUAGCUAGUAGGUGAGGUAAUGGCUCACCUAGGCGACGAUCCGUAACUGGUCUGAGAGGAUGAUCAGUCACACUGGAACUGAGACACGGUCCAGACUCCUACGGGAGGCAGCAGUGGGGAAUAUUGGACAAUGGGCGAAAGCCUGAUCCAGCCAUGCCGCGUGUGUGAAGAAGGUCUUCGGAUUGUAAAGCACUUUAAGUUGGGAGGAAGGGCAGUAAGUUAAUACCUUGCUGUUUUGACGUUACCAACAGAAUAAGCACCGGCUAACUUCGUGCCAGCCGCCGCGGUAA
rnacentral:rRNA from 1 species